GUUGCACGUGACUCACAAGCCACGUGCUGGGCCAUGGCUGUCCAGGCCUUGCAGCCUUCUUGAUGCCCAGAAUGAAAAACUUCUUGGGAUCCGUGUGCUGGCUGAUGAACAACUGCAGACCUGCCCUUCAGGCCCCUCCGCCAGUCCUUGCUCCACACUCUCACCUGCGCCCUGCCCUCACCUGCUCCAUGACCUCAUCCACUCUGCGCCUUCACCUGCUCUGCGCCCUCACCAGCUCCGCACCCUCACCUGCGCCCUGCCCUCACCUGCUCCGUGACCUCAUCCACUCUGCGCCCUGCCCUCACCUGCUCCGUGACCUCAUCCACUCCGCGCCCUGCCCUCACCUGCUCCGUGACCUCAUCCACUCCGCGCCUUCACCUGCUCUGUGCCCUCACCUGCUCCAUGCCCUCACCUGCUCUGUGCCCUCACCCGCUCCGCCCUCACCUGUUCCAUGCCCUCAUUCGCUCCACACCCUCAUCCGCUCCGCAUCCUCACCCGCGCCAUGCUCACCUGUGGGUACCUGCGCUUGAUGGAGGUGAGGGCUCCUGCCGGCAGCUUGGCCAAUUCUGAGUCCCGAACGGCAUGCACCGUGGUUGCCCGGGCCUGGUGGGUCAGUGUCUCCACCUGAGGAGAGGAGCCGGCUGCUGGGGCCGCGGGCUUGGGAGGGCCGAGCCAGCUGGGCCUGUCCCUGACAGCCUCCGGUGCCUGCCAGAGCCACACAUGACACCCCAUCCACACCGCAAGGCGGAGGCAGUCAGUGAGUGCUGGCGGGUGACGUGCUGUCAGAACCACUGGAACAUGCCAGAAGCCAAAGGUGCCCCCUAGCAACCCAGGCAAAUCGCAGACACAGGCAUCGGACACCACAGGCUGGAACAAGGGCAGCCUCAGCUCUCCCGAAG
rnacentral:lncRNA from 1 species